rnacentral:rRNA from 1 species
AACGAACGCUGGCGGCAGGCCUAACACAUGCAAGUCGAACGCUCCGCAAGGGGAGUGGCAGACGGGUGAGUAACACGUGGGAACCUUCCCAUCGCUACGGAAUAGCUCAGGGAAACUUGGGGUAAUACCGUAUAAGCCCGCAAGGGGAAAGAUUUAUCGGCGAUGGAUGGGCCCGCGGCUGAUUAGCUAGUUGGUGAGGUAACGGCUCACCAAGGCGACGAUCAGUAGCUGGUCUGAGAGGACGACUAGCCACACUGGGACUGAGACACGGCCCAGACUCCUACGGGAGGCAGAAGUGGGGAAUAUUGGACAAUGGGCGCAAGCCUGAUCCAGCCAUGCCGCGUGAGUGACGAAGGUCUUCGGAUUGUAAAGCUCUUUUGGCGGGGACGAUAAUGACGGUACCCGCAGAAUAAGCCCCGGCUAACUUCGUGCCAGCCGCCGCGGUAAAAC